GCGCCUCUAGCUCAGUUGGUAGAGCACCUGACUCUUAAUCAGGGUGUCCGGGGUUCGAGCCCCCGGAGGCGCACCA
rnacentral:tRNA from 1 species